AGUAUUUAUAUAUCCGGAGAAAGUUCUCUAGUAAAUUCUGGAGAUCUUCGGUAUUUAAAUGUCAACAUCGAUUUGUUUAUUUAUUGCUUAGCUUAUCGUAACUGACUCAAUAACAAAUCUAAUCAUGUUGUGCACAGAGAAAAUAUUCUCAUUAUGUAUUUUUCCUACAUUAUAGUUAACCAUUGCGUUUGAAUUCAAGCUGUAAAUUCAAUAUUAUCAAGUAAUUACU
ensembl:misc_RNA